AAUGUACUCCCUCCGUCCCAAAAUUCUUGUCUUAAAUUUGUUUAAAUACGAAUGUAUCUAAUACUAAAACAUGAGUUGAUACAUCUGUAUUUAGACAAAUCUAAGACAAGAAUUUUGGGACGGAGGGAGUAUUAG
rfam:Triticum aestivum genome assembly, contig: Triticum_aestivum_CS42_TGACv1_scaffold_211357_3AS